rnacentral:rRNA from 1 species
CCUACGGGUGGCAGCAGUGAGGAAUAUUGGUCAAUGGGCGCGAGCCUGAACCAGCCAAGUAGCGUGAAGGAUGACUGCCCUACGGGUUGUAAACUUCUUUUGUAAAGGAGUAAAGUGAGGCACGUGUGCCUUGUUGGAUAUACUUUGUAGAUAAGGAUAGGCUAAAUCCGGGCCAACAAGCGCGGUAAUAGGGAGGAGCCGAGCGUUAUCCGGGUUUUAUGGGGUUAAAGGGGGCGUAAAUGGGUUGUUAAGUCAGUGGGGAAAAUUUGCGGCUCAACCCCAAAAGUGCCAUUGAUACUGGUAGUCUUGAGUACAGUUGAGGUAGGCGGAAUUCGUGGUGUAGCGGUGAAAUGCUUAGAUAUCACGAAGAACUCCGAUUGCGAAGGCAGCUUACU